AAAAUUAAUGAAAGAAAUAAAAUAACAAGAGAAAAACUAAGAAAAAGAAGCAUGGGGUGCAAACUGAAAUGGGGUGUAAAUAACAAGAGGGUAUAGGGCCCAUGUGCACCAAACCCAUAAUGUAUUGCUUCUGAUCAGGGGGUGUGAUCUUAAUUCAUGGAGCAAAAAUAAAAAACAUCGGCCAAAAGGGGGUUAGGCCCAUC
rnacentral:lncRNA from 1 species